rnacentral:tRNA from 1 species
GCCGCGUUCGUCUAGUGGCCCAGGACAUCUGGUUCUCAUCCAGAAAACCAGGGGUUCAAAUCCCCUACGCGGUA